CUAACAUGCUCCAUUUCCCUGUGUCUCAAGCAGUGGGUACCUACAAAGUCUGGGUAAUUCAGCUGAGCAUGUGAAGAUGAUCCUGAAGUGGAACUCUGGAUAUUUAGUGAUUCUUCUUCUGAUGCCAUGUCCCUGGAGGCAUGGUGGGAAUGUGUGGCAUGGCAGGCAUCCUAUGUCUGAUGACCACACUUUCUCCUCCCUCAAGAUCUUGCUUUAUUGAGAUUCAUGGAGAGGAUACCAUAGUUACCUCCCUCAUCUCAUCAGUGACAGACCUGUCGCUUCCUCAGAACUGAAGAAGGUGUAUAACUCUGAUCUAAUGUUUCUGGAUGUGCAGCCUUUGGGGUGACUCUGUCAGAUCAGUGGGCAAACCCUUGAGUCUUUGUGUGGUGCAUUGGAGAGCCAGCUGACGCCAUUCAGAGUUGCUGUCCUGAAUGCAGAUCUUCUGCGAGCCCUGCUGAAGUGCAGGCCUGAUUUCAUCAGGUGUAUGAAGUAGAUGUACAUAGGAUGGUCACCCUUCCUGGAAGCCAGGUUGCUAACAGCAUGCAGAAGUAUAUUCCUGAGGUGCUGACUGAGGUAGGAGCUCUGUGGCAGUUGGCCCCUAUCCUGAUUAGCCCAUACUGAACAUAAAUAUUUGAUAUUUAAGGAAAAAAGACAGAGAGAUUUCAUCCCCAAACUUUUGUUUUUCUGUAUUACCUAAUCAAUAUGAAAUUCAGUGCAUUAUCAGGAUCUGGGGAGUAAGCAGGAAAUUUUUGGAUUCUCUGAAAUUUUGGUCCAGUGCCACCUUUUCCAUGUGAUUAUGCCGAAUUUAAGGGAAGACAAUCUCUCCCUUCCCUCUUUGGCCCACACCACAGCAGCUCCAAAUUCCUGAAAACCGAGCCUCUGAGUCUUAAAACUGCAUGCUGGCUCUUUAAUGUGGCAUAUUUGCCUGAAAGCUACUUUUCUCUCUGUGUGAUAUGGUGAAGUACGAGGAGCAGGAGUGAUUAAAACCAGCUGUUUUCCCUGAGCAGUUUUGCUGUGUUCUUUUCAUUUAGUGUUCUUUCAAUAAAGAGUGAGAAAACAGUGAAAUUGAUAAGACAGCAUAAGAAUAUUCUUCUGCAUAUGGAAAUUACUGCAGCAGAAUGGAAUUUCAACAGUGCUAGGAAACCAGCUCUUAAGCCAGUGUGCAGAAGUCCCCCUAACAACCUUUUGUUAAAUUAGCCUGUUGAAUUCCAUCAGGGGUUUUUUAUUCUUUUGUAAUGUCAUAGGAUUUUCUGAUUAAGGGAUGGAUCUGUUUUUGCUUUUUGCCACUCUCAAUACAGCUGAGGUAAAUAAAAGCUGGAGCAUUGUGAUGCUUGCUUUCUCUGUAGCGUUUUUCAGGCAAAUACUAUUGAUAAAAGUGCCUGAUCAUUAACACCCUGCUGUGGUUCAAAACUCUCUGGAACAAAUCUUUUUCAAAGGAAAACAAGUCUGAUCAAAGUGUUUUGAAGGAAAUAUUUUAAGUAAGAGUGAUAACUUGAAUGCCUCCAUGAUCUUUUGACAGAUGAUGUUUUCUUCCUCUUGGUUGGGCCUGCAGGAGUUGGCUUUCCUAGUUGGCAGUGAGGUUCUUGUUGCUGGAGUGUGCAUUUGUGGAAAGGAGUUGUCUACUGUAUCUGAGCUACAAUCAUCCUGAUCCUUUUUCUUCCCAAACCAUAAAUGAAAUUCUAUGAACUAUUUAAUGCCUUCAUUGUCUUCAAAAGUGGUCUUUUACUAGUGCCCUGCAUGUGUCCCACUGCAAGCUGCUUGUAAUAGUAGGCAUUCAGCCACAUCCUGAAAAUACAAGAAUGUUAAGGGAUGCUAAUUUGACGUUUAACAGCGCACAUUUCUUGCAAGUGACAUUUUAUUGGAGGAAGUCUGAUAAAGACAACAGUAUAACAAGAAUCAGGAAGUGAACAUACAGUUAUAAUUUAAAAAAUUAGUACACUCAUAUUUUGUGGUAGUUUUUGUUAGUAAUUCCUGUAGGCUUUGGUACUAGUUUGUUUGUGACAGUGAUGCACAUAAAGGGAAAAGGAAUCUAAAACUGCUUCAUCUUUUAUUGGAAACUACCACAAUUCUGAAAUGUAGGAUGAGUCUCAUUUGGCAAUAAAAAAAUUUAUCAACCAUUAUGAGUCAUUGUGUAAAAGUAAUUUGAUUAAUAAAAGGGAUAGUUGUAAGGGAGCAAUGUUACCUUUACUUUUAAGCAGUAGCCUACAGGUCUUGGAACAUAUUUAUGUUUUCAAGAUGGAAUAUAAUACAGCAUGCUGGAGACUGCAAGUGUAUUAUUUCAGUCCCAAAUCUGGUUUGUUGAUUGUUGAAAUUAUUUAAAUUAGUGGCUGUGCUCAUUUCCUUUUCUCAUUUACGUAUUCUAAAUUAUAAGUGAAAGACAUUUCACUUAUGAAAUGUCAGAAUAAAUGGUCAUAAAUGAAUAAAUGGUCAUUCAUAUCUCACUUUCAGGCCAAGAUGACCUACCACAUGAGAGGGGAAAAAAGGCUUUGUUAAAUUCAUGCUUAAACAGGCUGAUUGCCUCUACUUUUAAGCACCUCACUGCAGAAGGUUGAUUUGUUGACAUGUCUUUAAAGCAUGGCAUUCGUCAAACCACAUCAUUCUAGCAGGCAGAGCACCUACACUCUGAGAGGCAUACACAGAAAUGGUGACAGGUAACAGGAGCAAAGAUCACGGCUGGUAUGUUGUCGAAGGGGAAGUCACCUCCCCUAUGCCUUUAAAAGGACCUUACUCUUGUAAAAUUCAACCACCAGCAAAAACACCAGGAAGAUGCCAAUUAAAAACACUCAAUCAAAUUUAUUCAGCAGGCUCAUGUUUUCAGGAAGGAUUAGGAGGGGAAAAGUGGAAAGGAAAUGAGAAACACCCUUGUCAAGGUCAGAUGUAAAGCAGAAGGGCAUUGCUUGUUUCAUAUUGGAGCAUGGGGGGGAAUGGCAGGCCUUACAAAAUUAUAUCUAAUCAUGCUCAUGGCUGCCCAGUCAGGAAGGGAAAGUAACUGUCAGACAAAUCUUCCUCAUUACAGAGUCAGCAUGACACACAUAGAUGGUAGAUUAUUAAAGGAUUUUUGUUUGCUUUAAGGUUGGGGAGGGUUUCUUUCUUUUGAAAGUUGGCGGCUCUGGGCAUCUUUUAGGAGGUGACAGGAAAUGUAGCCUGACUAUUCAAUAAAACACACCAUUGUCACUGGGCUUGUGUGCUGUCACUCUGAAGAGUCCUCUUAAAUCAUGCAUGUUUCAUCACUGAAAUGAAGUGUGAUGGAAAUUGCUUUCUUCUUUCAAGGUUCCCACUAGCACCACCACUACCACCACCACCACAUAUUAACAGUUAAUCCUGUAUAUUUCCCAAAAGUACAACCCCAUUUAUAAUCCCUUAAUAAUUUUAAUCAAAUGCUUAGAGGGGAAAGGGAGAGCUGCAUCAACUACAAAAAGCUGGUUGUUGUAGAGGGAGGUGAGCAAAAAAUGCAUCCCAGUGAUAUAUUGCACCUUCAAGGCUGCAGGAAUAUAGAAACUUCAGUAUUUAGUGGAGAGCUUUGGAAGCUGGGAAAGAAGACAAGGAGUUCCUCUUUUCAAAAAAAAAAAAUAGAAAACAAGAAGCUAGACAAAUGUGACCUACUGGCCACAAGCUGCUCAGGGAGAAAUUUCGGUGUGGAAUUGCAAGAGCAGACUUGGGGCUGAUGGUGCUGAUGGAGUUUUGGGGACUGGAGAUCUCUGGAAAGACAGGCACGAGCUGCUUACAGUUGUAUCUGAGAUCCCGUCUGCCCAGCUUACAUCCCUGUGCAGUGGGCGUCAGGAGUGGCUGACAAAGUCUGUUGGCUGGGGUUGGCCAGGUGGCAUCCAAGAAUGGCUUCACACAUCUCUCUGAGGGUUCAGAGAUUCCUGAACCUUUCACAGGGUUUUCUGAAUGGAGUGAACUCCAUGGAUGGUUAGAUGAAAGGGAUUUUGUUGUGGGAAUUGAUAUUAGUAUAUGAUUAGGCUAACUGGUGCUAACAAGAAAAAAAGAAAAUUAAUUUGUAAAGGGAAAGGUUUGCUUUGUGACCAGUGGUUUUUGCAUUGAAUAGUAUAUCGUGUUCUUACUAGCCAGUAUGUGCAGAUGAGCUGGGAAAUGUGUAAAUUUUAUACUACUGUGCAAAAGCUUUACUUAUGUGCAUGGUGAGGUGAGAGAAAACAUUAGAAGUAUUAGAAAUUUAAUAAACCAAUAUUCAGUGUAGUGGGAAAUAAAAUUUAAAAAAAGAAUGUGGGAAAGUAUGUUUACAUAAUAAAUGAAGGGAAAGCUGUUUACUGGGCAUCUCAAGUAGGAGGGAGGCAGUAAACAAAGUUCUUUUUUUUUAAAUUAGGAGUUGGCAAACCUUGGUUAUCUCAUUUAUCAGUUACAUUUUUUGGCCAGCCCAAGCAGGUUUCAGGCCCUUCACAAAUCUAAAAGUGGCCUCAAAUCUCAAAACUUGUAACAACAGUAGUUCAUCCUGAGUGGGUUUAUUUACAUUCUGAACCACCAAAUUGCAGAUGGGUUGUGUUUUCCAGCUUGAGCUUGUGAAACAGAAGGCACACAUACAUACACACUUUGCUUUCAUGCAUAAAAGGGAAGACUGUCCAAUUUUUCAGGUUUUGAGGGAGGCAUACUAAGCUUUAAUAACAAAUCUAACUGAAGACUGGGUUUUACACACGUUUUUCUGUGACAAAAAAAAGUCAUUGGAGGAAUUUAUCACUUAUGCCCUUGUUUAUGUCAGGUAUUAUAUACUCAUAUAGCAUUUAGCUUACUUUUAUAGAAAUAUACAUUUGUAGCUGCUUUCUCACUGGAGAAAACAAAUAGUGGUUCAGAGAUUAGCAACAUAGAAACUUAGUUCUCCUAUUGUUUUUCAAGGUUUUACCUUUCCUUCU